GUCUUGGUGGCUCAGUUGGCUAGAGCGUUGGUCUCAUACUUCUUCUUCGUAUGACUCGAUUCAACAGGAUUGGGCAAUCCAAAGGUCGUGAGUUCGAGCCUCACCCAGGACA